ensembl:snRNA
UCCAUCUCUGUCAUGGGGUGAGUGAGCUGCUCAGUGAACGCAUAGUGAGAGCAGCCCUGCUGACAACCAUAACAACACUAACGCACCAGCUGAACCUUGGUCCAGUGUAUGGUGCAAUUUUUGGAAAC